rnacentral:rRNA from 1 species
GACGAACGCUGGCGGCGUGCUUAACACAUGCAAGUCGAACGAAGUGGCGAACGGGUGAGUAACGCGUAAUCAACCUGCCCUUCAGAGGGGGACAACAGUUGGAAACGACUGCUAAUACCGCAUACUGAUGAGGGGGUUGGCGUCUGAUUAGCUCGUUGGAGGGGUAACGGCCCACAAAGGCGAUGAUCAGUAGACGGUCUGAGAGGAUGACCGGCCACAGUGGGACUGAGACACGGCCCAGACUCCUACGGGAGGCAGCAGUGGGGAAUCUUGCGCAAUGGGCGCAAGCCUGACGGAGCAACGCCGCGUGAGUGAAGAAGGGUGUCGGAUCGUAAAGCUCUGUUGUAAGAGAAGCGGUAUCUGACCAGAAAGCCACGGCUAACUACGUGCCAGCAGCCGCGGUAAUAC